GCCAAUAAGACGAGAAGAUAAAAGUCCAAGCUGGCUUCAGUAGUUUCGUACGGUCAGGGAGAGAGGCUGCAAUGAAAAGCGUUACACUAACGGGUGAUUGUUUCAUAUUUUCGUCUGUUUUUGAUGCGCGUGACCGACAUUUAUAGCGUUGUAGCCCGGACUUUGCUGUUUAUUAUAGACACGCCUAAAAUCAGAUUAAUUUACAUUGAAUUCGUGGGUAACCUCCCAUUUUCUUUUGCUAUUUCAUCCUUACUCAUCAGGUUCACUGAAGAAAUGGAACUGAUGGUCACACAGAUUUAUGGAGGCACACAUCCAAACCUAGAUUGGACCUCCAGGAGAGACGAGUGUGGCCACUGGGACGUGCACAUUUAUGGACUUAAAGGCGAAAUGGGUCGUCAUUUGCCCCAGGGCCUUGUGAAGCUCUGGAGUCGCUUCAAGCGUUGGAGAAACCGGAGGAUCCAGCCGGAGCAGCCGGUGGGCGAAGGUGGUCCAGAUGGGCCUAACGGCGUCCACGUCCAUCCUUCACCCACUCCUCAGGUGGGUGACUCAUACACACCCCAUCCACCUUCUCCUCCACGCUCUCUUGUUUUUUGGUCUGCUGGUCCUUCUGUUUCCCCUUCACCCCCUCCUGUUCCUUGUUGCUUUGAUGUUCUUGCUUUUUCUCCUUCACCCUGUCCUACUCCUUCUUUUUCUUCUUCUUCUUUCUCACUCUCUUCUGCUUCCUCUGGUACUUGGUGCUCUGACAUCUUUCCCUUUUCUCCUUACCCUUCUCCUACUCCUUCUUCUUCUUCUUCCUCACUCUCUUCUGCUCACUCUGCUUCUCUGUGCUCUCCUCCUCACUCUCUCAUCUCUCCUUUUUCUUCUCCCUCGCCCUCCUCUGCUUACUCUGGUACUUGUUGCUCUGCUGUCCUUCCCUUUUCUCCUUCACCCUCUGCUGUUCCUAGUUGUUCUGCUGUCUUUCCUUUUUGUCCUUCACCCUCUCCUACUCCUUCUUCUUCUUCCUCACCCUCUUCUGCUUACUCUUGUCUUUGUUGCUCUGAUGCCCUUCCUUUGUCCCCUUUACCCUCUCCUGUGACGGAGAGAGUGAAGGAGCUCAUCCAGCAGCUCAUCUUCCAGGAGAGGUAA
ensembl:lncRNA